UAGGGAAUCUUCGGCAAUGGGGGCAACCCUGACCGAGCAACGCCGCGUGAGUGAAGAAGGUUUUCGGAUCGUAAAGCUCUGUUGUAAGUCAAGAACGAGUGUGAGAGUGGAAAGUUCACACUGUGACGGUAGCUUACCAGAAAGGGACGGCUAACUACGUGCCAGCAGCCGCGGUAAUACGUAGGUCCCGAGCGUUGUCCGGAUUUAUUGGGCGUAAAGCGAGCGCAGGCGGUUUGAUAAGUCUGAAGUUAAAGGCUGUGGCUCAACCAUAGUUCGCUUUGGAAACUGUCAAACUUGAGUGCAGAAGGGGAGAGUGGAAUUCCAUGUGUAGCGGUGAAAUGCGUAGAUAUAUGGAGGAACACCGGUGGCGAAAGCGGCUCUCUGGUCUGUAACUGACGCUGAGGCUCGAAAGCGUGGGGAGCGAACAGGAUUAGAUACCCUGGUAGUCCACGCCGUAAACGAUGAGUGCUAGGUGUUGGAUCCUUUCCGGGAUUCAGUGCCGCAGCUAACGCAUUAAGCACUCCGCCUGGGGGAGUACGACCGCAAGGUUG
rnacentral:rRNA from 1 species